rnacentral:misc_RNA from 1 species
GAUGAAGAACGUAGUGAAAUGCGAUAAGUAAUGUGAAUUGCAGAAUUCAGUGAAUCAUCGAAUCUUUGAACGCACAUUGCGCCCGGUAGUAUUCUGCCGGGCAUGCCUGUUCGAGCGUCAUUUCAACCAUCAAGCCCCAGCGCUUGUGUUGGGGGCCUGCGGCUGCCGCAGCCCCCUAAAAGCAGUGGCGGGCUCGCUAUCACACCGAGUGCAGUAGUUCAUCUUCUCUCCGGUCUUGUGAGGCGGGUUCCGGCCGUGAAACACCCCACUACAUUCAAGGUUGACCUCCGAUCAGGUAGGAAUACCCGCUGAACUUAAGCAUAUCAAUAAGCGGAGGA